GCGGAUGCCUUGGCUCUCGGAGGCGAUGAAGGACGUGAUAAGCUGCGAUAAGCUUUGGGGAGGUGCAAAUGACCUUUGAUCCAGAGAUUUCCGAAUGGGACAACCCAAUAUCUUGAAGAGGUAUUAUCCAACGUUGUUGGAGGCUAACGCAGGGAACUGAAACAUCUUAGUACCUGCAGGAAAAGAAAAUAAACAAUGAUUCCCCCAGUAGUGGCGAGCGAACGGGGAACAGCCCAAACCAUCCAUGUUACGGCAUGGGUGGGGUUGUAGGACUACGCCGUUGCAUGAAGACAUCAGAGAAGAACUUUCUGGAAAGAAAGACCAUAGAGCAUGACAGUUGCGUAUUCGAAUGUUGUCGAAGCAUAGUAGUAUCCUGAGUAGCGCGGAGCACGAGGAAUUCUGCGUGAAUCUGCCGGGACCAUCCGGUAAGGCUAAAUACUCCCGAGAGACCGAUAGCGAACCAGUACCGUGAGGGAAAGGUGAAAAGCACUUCGAACAGAAGAGUGAAAUAGUUCCUGAAACCGUGCGCCUACAAGCGGUCGGAGCUCGUUAAUGAGUGACGGCGUGCCUUUUGCAUAAUGAACCUACGAGUUGCCUUUGCCGGCAAGGUUAAGUGUGACGACACACGUAUCCGAAGCGAAAGCGAGUCUGAACAGGGCGUAUAGUCGGCAGUGGCAGACGCGAAACCAAGUGAUCUACCCUUGGCCAGGUUGAAGGCUGGGUAACACCAGCUGGAGGACCGCACCAAUAAGCGUUGAAAAGCUUCUGGAUGAGCUGAGGGUAGGGGUGAAAGGCUAAUCAAACUUGGAGAUAGCUCGUACUCCCCGAAAUGCAUUUAGGUGCAGCCUUGCGGGUUACUGAUGUGAGGUAGAGCGACUGAUAAGAUGCGAGGGCUUCACCGCCUAUCAAGUCUUGACAAACUCCGAAUGCGCAUCAGUUCUACCGCAGGAGUGAGGGCAUGGGUGCUAAGGUCCGUGCCCGAGAGGAGAAGAAUCCGGACCACCUGCUAAGGUCCCGAAAUGACAGCUAAGUUAAACUAACGAAGUCUGACUGCUAAGACAGCUAGGAUGUUGGCUUGGAAGCAGCCAUUCAUUUAAAGAGUGCGUAACAGCUCACUAGUCGAGGAGUCGGGCGUGGAUAAUAAUCGGGUAUCAAGUUGUCUACCGAAGCAGUGGGAUCAUUUAUAUGAUCGGUAGGGGAGCAUUCCAGUCAGCGUCGAAGGCGUACCGUGAGGUAUUCUGGAGCGUCUGGAAAAGCAAAUGUAGGUAUAAGUAACGAUAAAGGGGGCGGGAAACCCCCUCGCCGAAAGACUAAGGUUUCCUGAUCAACGCUAAUCGGAUCAGGGUCAGUCGGGUCCUAAGGCUCAGCCGAACGGCGAUGCCGAUGGCAGAAACGGUUAAUAUUCCGUUACUACCUUCAGGAGUGACGUGGAGACGCAGUAGUGACAGUGCCGCCAUCUGACGGAAUAGAUGGUUGAAGGGUGUAGGAGUCGAUCAUGGCAGGCAAAUCCACCAUGAGAUCCGAACCUGAUAGUAUGCCGCGUCCUUCGGGACAAGGCAAUAGUGCGCGUAAGCAUGCUGCCGAGAAAAUCCGCUAAACUUAAUCCUGCAGGUACCCGUACCGCAAACGGACACACGUAGUCGGGAUGAAUAUUCUAAGGCGCUUGAGUGAUUCACGGUUAAGGAACUAGGCAAACUGACCCUGUAACUUCGGGAUAAAGGGUCCCUACCCUUUUAUGGGAGGGCGCAGAGAAUCGGUCCAGGCAACUGUUUAACAAAAACACAGGGCUGUGCCAAAUCGAAAGAUCCAGUAUACAGCCUGACACCUGCCCGGUGCUGGAAGGUUAAGAGGAGAUGUCAUCGAUAAGAGAAGCGUUGAAUUGAAGCCCCAGUAAACGGCGGCCGUAACUAUAACGGUCCUAAGGUAGCGAAAUUCCUUGUCGGGUAAGUUCCGACCUGCACGAAUGGUGUAAUGAUCUGGACACUGUCUCAACCGUGAGCUCAGUGAAAUUGUAGUAUCGGUGAAGAUGCCGAUUACCCGCGAUGGGACGAAAAGACCCCGUGAACCUUUACUAUAGCUUAUCAUUGAAUCUGGGCACGUGAUGUGUAGGAUAGGUCGGAGGCUUUGAAGCAGGUACGCCAGUAUUUGUGGAGCCGCUGUUGAAAUACGACCCUUUAUUUGUUUGGAUUCUAACCCGUGGAACGGGGACAUUGAUUGGUGGGUAGUUUGACUGGGGUGGUCGCCUCCAAAAGCGUAACGGAGGCUUCUAAAGGUGCCCUCCGGCCGAUUGGUAACCGGCCUUAGAGUGUAAUGGCAUAAGGGCGCUUGACUGGGAGACUAACAAGUCGAUCAGGUAGGAAACUAGAGCAUAGUGAUCCGGUGUUUCCGUAUGGAAGGGACAUCGCUCAAAGGAUAAAAGGUACUCCGGGGAUAACAGGCUGAUCCCUCCCAAGAGCUCAUAUCGACGGAGUGGUUUGGCACCUCGAUGUCGGCUCGUCACAUCCUGGGGCUGGAGAAGGUCCCAAGGGUUGGGCUGUUCGCCCAUUAAAGUGGCACGCGAGCUGGGUUCAGAACGUCGUGAGACAGUUCGGUCUCUAUCUAUCGUGGGCGCAUGAAAUUUGCGUGGCUCUGACACUAGUACGAGAGGACCGUGUUGGACAGACCUCUGGUUUGCCGGUUGUGCCGCCAGGUGCAUUGCCGGGUAUCUAAGUCUGGAUCGGAUAAGUGCUGAAAGCAUCUAAGUACGAAGCCGGCCACAAGAUUAGAUUUCUUAGGGUCGUUGUAGACUACGACGUUGAUAGGAUGCAGGUGUAAAGAUGGAGACAUCAAAGCCGAGCAUUACUAAUUGCCCGUUCACUUUCCUUA
rnacentral:rRNA from 1 species